AACGUAGGUACCGAGCGUUAUCCGGAUUUACUGGGCGUAAAGCGCGUUCAGGCGGUUUGGCAAGUCGGGCAUGAAAUCUCUCGGCUCAACCGGGAGAGGUUGUCCGAUACUUCCAGACUUGAGGGCAGUAGAGGGUGGUGGAAUUCCGGGUGUAGUGGUGAAAUGCGUAGAUAUCCAGAGGAACACCAGUGGCGAAAGCGGCCACCUGGACUGCACCUGACGCUGACACGCGAAAGCUAGGGGAGCGAACGGG
rnacentral:rRNA from 1 species